rnacentral:rRNA from 1 species
UGGGGAAUCUUGCGCAAUGGACGAAAGUCUGACGCAGCGACGCCGCGUGGGGGAUGACGGGUUUCGGCUUGUAAACCCCUGUUGCCCGGGACGAACUUCUGGUUUCGACCAGAUUGACGGUACCGGGUGAGGAAGCACCGGCUAACUCCGUGCCAGCAGCCGCGGUAAUACGGAGGGUGCGAGCGUUGUCCGGAAUCACUGGGCGUAAAGGGCGCGUAGGUGGCGACGCAAGUCAACGGUGAAAGCUCGACGCUCAACGUCGAGUCGGCCGUCGAUACUGCAUCGCUGGAGCACUGUAGAGGCAGAUGGAAUUCCGGGUGUAGCGGUGGAAUGCGUAGAGAUCCGGAAGAACACCGGUGGCGAAGGCGGUCUGCUGGGCAGUUGCUGACACUGAGGCGCGACAGCGUGGGGAGCAAACA